AAUAAAUUUAAAGAAAAACAUAUAAAACAAUCAAUGUCCAAGGAUAGUGACCAUGGUUGACAAUAAUGGUGACAUUCUCAUCACAUUUCAUUCAUUUAUUUUCUGCCAGCCUUGGCCAGCAUUCACUACAGCAUCCACUACCUGGUUGACCUGCAGGCACCAUUCCUCAUCUGCACCAGGAGAAGCCAAGGAGUUUUAGAAGGCUGGGGCUCAGCUCAGUUGUGAAUCUCAGGAUUCAGAAGAUGUUCCAGCACAAUGGAAGUGUAUGAAACAAAACAGCUUAUCAUCAACCAAGUAUAUCCAACCGAGGAUACCAGGUGCCUUGCUCAGUCUGGCUUUGAGAAGCAGUGAUGCAGGGUGUUCGUGAACCAGCGCCAUUGAGAGCAAAUCCUGCAGAGUUCCGUCUACAUUGGAGGAAGCCACUCAAUCCCAGCCCAGAGCCCAGAGCAAAAUCAACAAAGGAAGAGAGAGAGUCAAGGACAGAAUCCACAACGGGUCAUCCUGUGCCUGUCAUACCAGAAUAACUAGACUCUUGGUUUUCAAUGGAAGGAAGGCAGAGGAGGACUGCAAAGGAAGAAGUAUAUUUUUGUUUAAUGCAUUUAUUUUUAAACAUAUUUCUUUUAAAUUACAUGUUGGAGAAAUUUAGGAAAAUCUAAAAGUAAAAUGAAGCAAAUAACAAUUUUUAGAGUCACACUCCCCAGAUAUAACAACUGCUCAAAUCCUGUGUGUGUGUGUGUGUGUGUGUGUGUGUGUGUGUGUGUGUUUACAGUCUUCUUCCUAUGUGCUCCCUUGUGCUGGCCAGAGUUCUGAUCACUUCCACAGGACACUGCUGCAAAAUUUACACUCAAAUGGGUGAUCAUUUUUAAAGCACUUUGAGAUGCACCAACUAGUCGCUUUCCGGAGCAGUCAUGCUAAUUUGCAUUCCCUCCAUCAAGGCAUGAGAAUACAUCCCUCACCUGGCUUCACCUCACUUCACCCAGCCUCACCUCCCCAAUGCUGUCCAAAUGCACCUUGAAAACAUUUGAAUCAAGACACAGUGUAAUGUUGUACACCUGAAACUAAUAUUACAUGUCUACUGUAAAUUAAAAUUUUUCUUAAUUUUUUAAGAAAAAAGUGUAAAAAUAUGAAAUCAACUGGCAUUACCCUCUGACUACCUUACACUUCCCAGAGAGGCCAUCUAAAGGCAAAGGAUAAAAUUUGAUAGGUUGAGAUGCCCUGUUGGUCUAACAAAAAGUGUUUCUCAUCAUCUGCCUUGGUCUUUUGUAACCUCCGUUAUCCGCCUCCCCAGUUCUCUGACUGGAUCUGUGGCCAAUCAAUCCAUGCCCUCAGGGCUUCUCUUCUUCCCUAAAAUCAUAUUUCUCUCUUUUUGGAAUUUCCCUGCUUUGACUAUUUAGGAAUGUCCUGAGCUCAGAGCCCAGUGACGUGCCCACUCAGGUUUCUUUAGA